CUUGCUGGGGGAUUAGUGGCGAACGGGUGAGUAACACGUGAGUAACCUGCCCUUGACUCUGGGAUAAGCCUGGGAAACUGGGUCUAAUACCGGAUAUGACUCCUCAUCGCAUGGUGGGGGGUGGAAAGCUUUUGUGGUUUUGGAUGGACUCGCGGCCUAUCAGCUUGUUGGUGGGGUAAUGGCCUACCAAGGCGACGACGGGUAGCCGGCCUGAGAGGGUGACCGGCCACACUGGGACUGAGACACGGCCCAGACUCCUACGGGAGGCAGCAGUGGGGAAUAUUGCACAAUGGGCGCAAGCCUGAUGCAGCGACGCCGCGUGAGGGAUGACGGCCUUCGGGUUGUAAACCUCUUUCAGUAGGGAAGAAGCGAAAGUGACGGUACCUGCAGAAGAAGCGCCGGCUAACUACGUGCCAGCAGCCGCGGUAAUACGUAGGGCGCAAGCGUUAUCCGGAAUUAUUGGGCGUAAAGAGCUCGUAGGCGGUUUGUCGCGUCUGCUGUGAAAGACCGGGGCUCAACUCCGGUUCUGCAGUGGGUACGGGCAGACUAGAGUGCAGUAGGGGAGACUGGAAUUCCUGGUGUAGCGGUGAAAUGCGCAGAUAUCAGGAGGAACACCGAUGGCGAAGGCAGGUCUCUGGGCUGUAACUGACGCUGAGGAGCGAAAGCAUGGGGAGCGAACAGGAUUAGAUACCCUGGUAGUCCAUGCCGUAAACGUUGGGCACUAGGUGUGGGGGACAUUCCACGUUUUCCGCGCCGUAGCUAACGCAUUAAGUGCCCCGCCUGGGGAGUACGGCCGCAAGGCUAAAACUCAAAGGAAUUGACGGGGGCCCGCACAAGCGGCGGAGCAUGCGGAUUAAUUCGAUGCAACGCGAAGAACCUUACCAAGGCUUGACAUGAACCGGUAAUACCUGGAAACAGGUGCCCCGCUUGCGGUCGGUUUACAGGUGGUGCAUGGUUGUCGUCAGCUCGUGUCGUGAGAUGUUGGGUUAAGUCCCGCAACGAGCGCAACCCUCGUUCUAUGUUGCCAGCGCG
rnacentral:rRNA from 1 species